UCUAUAUUUGGCAGAGUUGAUUCAAAUUUUUUGAGAGACAUUUUUCACCAUGUGUUUACUUUUUAUUUGUUUAAACAUAUUAAACUGACUAAUUUAAAUGUGAAUUUAUAUAAAGAAUCGGCCUUAAGGAAUUUGACCAUAUUAUUAUGGAAGAGCCAUGACUGCAUGUACUAGAAUUACUUUUUCUCUGCUUCGAUUGAUUUUGUUUAUUUGGAUAUAUGAUUUACAUUUUCGUUAAUGGAAUGUGCAAGAAGGGUAUGAAGAAACAAGACUGAAGCAGAUCCACAUUCAGAAAAUGGGACAACCGAUUAAUAAACACGUACAGGGCUGUCUGUCAAAGAUUUUAAUAAAAGUGAAUGAAAUUCGUGAUUGAAAAGUUGUAGAUUCCAAAAAAUCAGUGGUAACUUCGACAAUAAUAUGCUGAAAUGGAUUCAGCCACCACUUGGGGUUUGACAGCGGUAGAAUCCAUUACUUGAGGGAUGAAAAGUAAGAGAAGAUUAUUGAAUACAAGAAAAAGAAUCACAUUAAUUCCCAGAGAUUUGUCAACUAAUAUAAAGAGAAGAAUAUACUUGAGAAUGGACUUAUAGUAGAAAUCAAUAACAUCUUGUUUCAUUUGCUGUCAGGAUAGUGUGGUUCGGUAUAUUUGGUACGUUAGGUCAGGCAUGGCUAGAGUAGGAAAGUGUAGUCAUUAUAUCCGAAGAAUCAAAUACUCAUUGUAUUGACUAAAGGAAUGGAGAGUUUAUUUCUUUAAACUUCUCUACCAAAAUAAAAAUCAAAUUUGGAAUCGUUUGGAGAUGUUUCUGUUAAUUAUGUUUUGAAUUAAAAUAAAUUGCAAAUUUAGAACUGUUGACUUCGAGAAUUGGACCCUCCACGUGGCCAGUGGAUAGCUACUUCAGUAAUCCUCUCUGUACACAACAACGCACGGUCAGAAGCACACGACCGGAAACACCGGUGGUGGUGGCGACAGCCGCAUACACUCUGACAAUCAAGUCAACGUUAGGUGAUCGAAACAGUGCUCAAGUUAUGCGAGAGAGUGGGGGGGAUAAUAUCUAUUUCUUAGUGUGGAGAGCUAAGUUAUGUGAGUUUCAUUGCCUUUGUCUCUUGUCAAACCUUUGGUAUUUAUAGACGUACGGCACCAUUGGAUGUGGAACACGUAUAUGCAUCUGACGGUGUGAGACGUUUGCACAUAGGCGUCAAUCAACCGUGUCUAGAGUGGGCGGACAAUUAGUUCUUCUGAGUUGAGUUGACAUAAAGUCGAUAUGUCACAUCAGCUAGAUCUAUGGAGACGUCACAUCAAUUGAUCCUUGGAGGCAGAGAAGAUUCUAACAGAUAUCUUUCUGACAGUGGCGACAGAGAGAUCUACUAAGGGGGUACUUCGGAGUGCCCAGUGCUUCGGAGUUGAGGGACACUUCAG
rnacentral:lncRNA from 1 species